UAUUGCACAAUGGGGGGAACCCUGAUGCAGCGACGCCGCGUGGGCGAUGGAGUGCUUCGGCAUGUAAAGCCCUAUCAGCAGGGAAGAAAAUGACGGUACCUGACUAAGAAGCCCCGGCUAAAUACGUGCCAGCAGCCGCGGUAAUACGUAGGGGGCAAGCGUUAUCCGGAUUUACUGGGUGUAAAGGGAGCGUAGACGGUAUGGCAAGUCUGAUGUGAAAACCCGGGGCUCAACCCCGGGAGUGCAUUUGAAACUGUCCAGCUGGAGUGCAGGAGAGGUAAGCGGAAUUCCUAGUGUAGCGGUGAAAUGCAUAGAUAUUAGGAGGAACACCAGUGGCGAAGGCGGCUUACUGGACUGUAACUGACACUGAGGCUCGAAAGCGUGGGGAGCAAACAGG
rnacentral:rRNA from 1 species